rnacentral:rRNA from 1 species
AUUGAACGCUGGCGGCAGGCUUAACACAUGCAAGUCGAGCGAGCGGCGGACGGGUGCGUAAUGUCUGGGAAACUGCCUGAUGGAGGGGGAUCACUACUGGAAACGGUAGCUAAUACCGCAUACCAUCAGAUGUGCCCAGAUGGGAUUAGCUAGUAGGUGGGGUAAUGGCUCACCUAGGCGACGCUCCCUAGCUGGUCUGCGAGGAUGACCAGCCAAACGGGAAAUGAGACACGGUCCAGACUCCUACGGGAGGCAGCAGUGGUGAAGAUUGCACAAUGGGGGCAAGCAUGAUGCAGCCAUGCCGCGUGUGUGAAGAAGGCCUUCGGGUUGUAAAGAACUUUCAGCGAGGAGGCGUUACUCGCAGAAGAAGCACCGGCUAACUCCGUGCCAGCAGCCGCGGUAAUAC